GUCUUCUUUGUCUCAAAAGUAAAUGUGGGGGAAAAAAAAGACUAUUCAAACCCUGACUGAUGCUUACCAGCAGUGUUGUGGGUCUAGAGUCACUUGGCCAUACUAAGCCUCAGUUUUCAGAUCUGUAAAAUGCUGACCGUGACAUAUACUUCACAAGAUGGUUCUGAGAAUCCCCUGAGAAAAUGUGGUCACAGCACUGGCACAGUGCCUGGCCCACACUGGGAAAGGAAUUGACGUGUUCCUCGUGAAAGAGAUCCCUAAGUUGGUGACCAGGGCAAAUGCCUACUACCACACUAGACUUUAGGGAAAACAGGCAGCAGGCAUUUGCCCUGGUCACCAACCAGGGGGCUCAAAGUAGUGGCAUACCCCUUUCUUGUUGGCCAAUCUUCCCCAUUUCCUUCCACACAAGAGAGCAUUCUAACGUAGAACAUACAGCUGUUUACUCUCCCCUAACCUCCCAAGUGCCGCCUCUCCUGUCUCCUCUGCAGCGCGGGAGCUGCUUCCUCUCCACGUGUGGUGUCGAUUCUCCCGUCGUGGGGCCCACACUUGGACAGUAGCGAGUGUGUCCAUCUGUUGUGAAGACCUGACCCCUAGAGUGGAUCACCACCCCUUGAUCCCACCUUCAGCAGACAUGUAUUGCUCCUUCACCAUGGGUGCAGAACCCUCUCCUGGAGAAGAAGCUGCCUAAUUUAGGCAGCUGCCAGCCUGGGACUGAUUGCUGGGCCUUUCAGGAACAAGGGAACAUAUUUAAUUAUACUUUUCUCUGCCUCUAGAGUCUUGUUAGCAGAUUUGCUACACGUGCAUUUUACAAAAACAUUUCCUACACCAUAGUAAUGAAAUAAUAGCAGCUGUCAUUUACAGGAUACCAAGCAUUGUAAAUAUCCCUAACUCUUACCAUAAACUUGCAGGUUAGGUAUUUCCCCCAUUUUACAGAAGAAAAAAACGAGAAGACUCUUGGAGAAGUAAAGAAACAAACCACAAGGUAAUUUCAGGGAAUAAGUUUUGGAAAGGCACAGAAGAUUGGAUAAAGGUACCUAUACAGAGUGUCUUCCUUAAGCUAUUGGGCUCUCCGUUGUAUGGCAUUAGUCUGGUAGAUAGAAGCAUAGGCCUCAAUUCAAAUCCCAGCUCAGCCGUUUACAGGCUAUAUGACCUGGACAUGUUUCCCAACCUCUUUAAAUUGCAGCCCUCUCAUAUGUAAAGAGUGCUUUACCUCUUCGAGUUAUUCUGAGGAUCAAAUGACUUAAAACUUCCAAAAGUCUCAUAAACAUUAGCUAGUAUAUCAUUUAAAUAUUCUAAUUGCUGCGAUCAAAAUGUCUCACUUUCCAGACUUAUUCUAUAGACUUGGCUCUUUAAUUUUAAAUCAUGUCACAUUCCCAAUUCAGAAGAUGUAUGAUGUAUUUGGUAAGUCUUUCCUUCAAGAGAAAAUGACAUUUUAAAUUAGGGGUUGGCAAACUAUUUUUGGUAAAGGGCCAGAUCAUAAAUAUUUUAGGCUUUUCAGGCCAUACGGUCUCUGUCACAACCAUUGAGCCUUGCCUCUGUGGCAUGAAAGCAGCCAUGGACAGGACUUGAACAAAUGGGUGUGCCUGUGUUCCAUUGGAGACUGGAAUGUAACGUUCAAACAAUUUCUCAAGUAUAACAAAAUAAUAUUUCUCUUUGGUUUCAACCUAUUUAGAACUACAAAAGUUGCUUAGCUUGAGGGCCAUAUGAAAAUAGGCAGUGGGCCGUCAUUUGCCAACCCCUGUUUUAAAUAAAUCAGUGGUUCUCUAAAACUAAUGAAUCCAGCAGAAGCCUAAUUAAGAAAAAGCAAUUUGGAGGAAGAAAAUCAAGAGCUGGUCUACGUAUCAACUCGCCCAGAUCAUAGCUACAUUAAUCACUCCCUUGCCUGACACAAUUCAUGCAACUAUUUUGAGCUUAACCUUUCUGUCCAUAAAAAUGAAGGAGUGCUACCUCUCUGACCCAUACCUACUUCCUCCAGGUGAUGGGAGUUUAAUAAUAAUUAUUAUUUAUUGAAUUUAUACCUUUGUACUAGAUAUUCAACUCAUUUUUGUUCUUAUCCUCUUAUUCCUGCUUUACAGAUAAAGCUCAGAGAAGCAAAAAACCUGGUCAGGGUUACAAUACCAGUAUCUACACGCUGGUGCCUGAUUCCAUAAACCCUCUCAGCCCACUCAGUAGAAUACAGACAGCAUGGGAUUGGGGACCUCAUUGGACUCAUUAUGUGCUCCAUCCCCAGUGCCGAUUAGUACCUGAACCACGGUCAUGAGGGAAACAUCCACAGCCCACUGCUCACGAGCCAACCAGAUCCGAGUCCAGAGCAUUACUCGGGGUCCGCCUUCUGCUGCGUCCCUUCUGGUCCUUUACUUACAGCAUCCCAUCCCAUCCCCCGGUCUCCUGUUAAGACAUUGAGAGAGAGGGUUAUUAAUAUUUAGACAUUAAAUUCAGAUGUGACCGAUUUCUAUCUCCUCCUCGAAAGCACCUGCUCUUUACAUAGUUUCACCAUUUACAUCAGGACCUUGAGAUCAUGACUCAUUUCAGGUGAACAGUAAGAUUAAGGGUACUUUGUUUUCACAUGCUAUAUAAACAAAGUCUGUUGCUGAUGGAGACUUAAGAAAACAUUCAGGUACUGCACUCACGUGCUCCUCCCUCUGGACUCCCUUUACUGCAUCCCCCCUCCCCGCCCCAAGGAAGUUACAUUCUAAACCAUGAAUUCUCCUGUUUCACUCUAUUCACACUUCGGUUGUGCCAUGCCAUUUAAUAUUCCCCAUGGCACUUAUUACCAGGGCUCGUAUUCAGCCACAUCAGUUGUUAAAGGUGUGGAAAUACUUCCAAAGAGUUGGGAAAUAGCUGCCACCCUGAGCCCUGCAAAUGCCAUUUACCACCCCCAUCCUUCCCCCUGGUUCCCUGCAUCUCCACACAACUCCAGCAACUAAGAGGUUAAUACCACUGGCCCUCCUGGAACACUGCACCAAGACUAUGGCUAGCACCUCUUCUGAUUGGUCAGUGCCGCACCAGUUUAAAUACUACAUUUAUUGUCACAUUCAUAUAUAUGAGUAGGGAAGUAGACCUUUCUGUUUGAUUCAAUACAGUAUUCUCAAUGUCUCCUUGACAUAUAGCAGAUUUUUAAAUAAUUGCUGAAACAGAAAAAAAAUGUAUUUAUGCUUAUGGUUUCCAAGAAGUAAGAUCCAAAGCAGGAGAAUCAUUUGAUCAAUCAGGAUUUGGAAACUGCUUGAUGACCCACAGGAGCAGGAAUGGCAUAAGAAUUAAGAGGAUCCCUGUAUAAUACAUUUUUAUGCACAGCCGAAUUUGCUUCCCCCGCCCCCAGGAAGGGUUAAGUGAGGAUUGGGUUUCAGGUCCCAAAUUGCCUCAUUAGUGACCAAAUACUAGACCUGGAGGUAGAAAGAAGCUGCUCUUCUGCCAAGCCCAACAAGGUGUGGAAACCUGUGGGAAGGCUCUGAGAUGAUGACAGAGCCUUGCAGAGGAGUGUUGCGUGGUCUUCUGGGAUGGUGAGGCGGAGGCCCCCGUAAGAUGAGCCAGAAAGCCUAAGAGGUCAGAGCUGUUCCUUUCUGACAGCUGGGCCUUCAUGCACACACAAGCACACACUGAUAGAGCUACUCUCAGGUAAAGCUCCCCGACACAAUCAUGGGCACUGUCGUCAGCAGGCCUCUUCUGUCGGGCUAAGAGACAGACCAGAGAUGCUCAUGUCACAUCACCUCCGCAGAGUCCAAACAAUUCAGUGUGCAUUCUCAAGAAUUCCUUAACACUUCCUUGCCUUUCCUUAAUAUCCACCUGUGAAUGUCUGAACUUAUGAAGCUAUUCCAAGCUUAUGCCAUCAGUUAUUUUUUAUUUUUACUCUGUGAGAUAUAAUUCGUUUGUUCCAAAUUUGUCUAUUUCAGUGCUCAACAACUACCUGCUAAACCUCACAUUUUAUAACCUGGUGAUUAUUUAGUUAAACGCUCACAUCCCAAAUGUCUCUUGUCUUUAUGUAAUCAUCCCCAGAUGAACAUAGCUUUUCAAGAGGUCCCGUGUGCUUGGAUCUGCGAGGACCCGGAUGCUAACUGUGAGCUACCUCUUGGGUCCAUUACUCUUCUCCAUCACACCAAAGACGUUCUGUAUUUUCUCCCUCACGACAGCAAAAUAAUUGCGGUGGAACAAGAUGGCGCUCUGCCUUCUCGUCUACCUCCUGUGCCAUAAACAAGUCUCCAGGUUUUGGUUCAUUUAAUGCCAUGUGUUUUGCAUUUUUGUUCUCUGUUGAUUUCUCUGUUUAAAAUGGCUCCCAGCGCAGCACUCAAGUGCUGUCUGGUAUUCCUAAACUCAAGAAGGCUGCGAUGUUCCUUAUGGAAGAAAUAAAUGGGCUCGAUGAGCUCCGUUCAGACA